rnacentral:lncRNA from 1 species
AUCUGCUCGUGAAGGGUCUCUUGAACUAGACAUAGUGUCCCCCUCUGAUUCAUUGCACUGGUGCAAAUAAUCUGAUUCAAAAGUCAAAUUAGAUGUUAGGUUAUUAUAGUCUUGAUCAGAGAGCAUUGUCUCAACACUAUAAUCCACCAUGGUGCCUGAAUAUGAAUGAAAGUUAAGUUCAUCCAGAUGCUCUGACACUGGUCCCAGAUUUCCAAUCUUUAUAUCAAAAUCUGGUCUUUUGUUGAGUCAACAACUUCACAUUCUUUCUCACCUUUAAGCAUGGUUUCUUGCAAAUCUGCUCGUGAAGGGUCUCUUGAACUAGACAUAGUGUCCCCCUCUGAUUCAUUGCACUGGUGCAAAUAAUCUGAUUCAAAAGUCAAAUUAGAUGUUAGGUUAUUAUAGUCUUGAUCAGAGAGCAUUGUCUCAACACUAUAAUCCACCAUGGUGCCUGAAUAUGAAUGAAAGUUAAGUUCAUCCAGAUGCUCUGACACU